GAUAAACGCUGGCGGCGUGCCUAAUACAUGCAAGUCGAGCGAACGGACGAGAAGCUUGCUUCUCUGAUGUUAGCGGCGGACGGGUGAGUAACACGUGGAUAACCUACCUAUAAGACUGGGAUAACUUCGGGAAACCGGAGCUAAUACCGGAUAAUAUUUUGAACCGCAUGGUUCAAAAGUGAAAGACGGUCUUGCUGUCACUUAUAGAUGGAUCCGCGCUGCAUUAGCUAGUUGGUAAGGUAACGGCUUACCAAGGCAACGACGCAUAGCCGACCUGAGAGGGUGAUCGGCCACACUGGAACUGAGACACGGUCCAGACUCCUACGGGAGGCAGCAGUAGGGAAUCUUCCGCAAUGGGCGAAAGCCUGACGGAGCAACGCCGCGUGAGUGAUGAAGGUCUUCGGAUCGUAAAACUCUGUUAUUAGGGAAGAACAUAUGUGUAAGUAACUGUGCACAUCUUGACGGUACCUAAUCAGAAAGCCACGGCUAACUACGUGCCAGCAGCCGCGGUAAUACGUAGGUGGCAAGCGUUAUCCGGAAUUAUUGGGCGUAAAGCGCGCGUAGGCGGUUUUUUAAGUCUGAUGUGAAAGCCCACGGCUCAACCGUGGAGGGUCAUUGGAAACUGGAAAACUUGAGUGCAGAAGAGGAAAGUGGAAUUCCAUGUGUAGCGGUGAAAUGCGCAGAGAUAUGGAGGAACACCAGUGGCGAAGGCGACUUUCUGGUCUGUAACUGACGCUGAUGUGCGAAAGCGUGGGGAUCAAACAGGAUUAGAUACCCUGGUAGUCCACGCCGUAAACGAUGAGUGCUAAGUGUUAGGGGGUUUCCGCCCCUUAGUGCUGCAGCUAACGCAUUAAGCACUCCGCCUGGGGAGUACGACCGCAAGGUUGAAACUCAAAGGAAUUGACGGGGACCCGCACAAGCGGUGGAGCAUGUGGUUUAAUUCGAAGCAACGCGAAGAACCUUACCAAAUCUUGACAUCCUUUGACAACUCUAGAGAUAGAGCCUUCCCCUUCGGGGGACAAAGUGACAGGUGGUGCAUGGUUGUCGUCAGCUCGUGUCGUGAGAUGUUGGGUUAAGUCCCGCAACGAGCGCAACCCUUAAGCUUAGUUGCCAUCAUUAAGUUGGGCACUCUAAGUUGACUGCCGGUGACAAACCGGAGGAAGGUGGGGAUGACGUCAAAUCAUCAUGCCCCUUAUGAUUUGGGCUACACACGUGCUACAAUGGACAAUACAAAGGGCAGCGAAACCGCGAGGUCAAGCAAAUCCCAUAAAGUUGUUCUCAGUUCGGAUUGUAGUCUGCAACUCGACUACAUGAAGCUGGAAUCGCUAGUAAUCGUAGAUCAGCAUGCUACGGUGAAUACGUUCCCGGGUCU
rnacentral:rRNA from 1 species